UACGUAUGGUGCAAGCGUUAUCCGGAUUUACUGGGUGUAAAGGGAGCGUAGGCGGCGCGUUAAGUCUGAUGUGAAAACCCGAGGCUCAACCACGGGAGUGCAUUGGAAACUGGCGUGCUGGAGUGCCGGAGAGGUAAGCGGAAUUCCUAGUGUAGCGGUGAAAUGCGUAGAUAUUAGGAGGAACACCAGUGGCGAAGGCGGCUUACUGGACGGCAACUGACGCUGAGGCUCGAAAGCGUGGGGAGCAAACAGG
rnacentral:rRNA from 1 species